AAUCAACGCUGGCGGCGUGCCUAACACAUGCAAGUCGAACGCGAAAGCCCCGCAAGGGGUAAGUAGAGUGGCAAACGGGUGAGUAACACGUGGGUGACCUGCCUUCGAGUGGGGGAUAACGUCCCGAAAGGGACGCUAAUACCGCAUGACAUCCUGCUUUUGAAAAAGCGGAGAUCAAAGCUGGGGAUCGCAAGACCUAGCGCUUGAAGAGGGGCCCGCGCCUGAUUAGCUAGUUGGUGAGGUAACGGCUCACCAAGGCGACGAUCAGUAUCCGGCCUGAGAGGGCGGACGGACACACUGGGACGGAGACACGGCCCAGACUCCUACGGGAGGCAGCAGUGGGGAAUUGUUCGCAAUGGGCGCAAGCCUGACGACGCAACGCCGCGUGGAGGACGAAGAUCUUCGGGUCGUAAACUCCUGUCGAGCGGGACGAACGCUUCGCGGAUGAAUAAUCCGCGGAAUUGACGGUACCGCUAAAGGAAGCCCCGGCUAACUCCGUG
rnacentral:rRNA from 1 species